rnacentral:rRNA from 1 species
UAAUACAGAGGGUGCAAGCGUUGUUCGGAAUUACUGGGCGUAAAGCGCGUGUAGGCGGUCUGGUAAGUCGGUCGUGAAAUCCCUUGGCUUAACCAAGGAACUGCGUCCGAAACUGUCGGACUUGAGUGUCGGAGGGGAUGGCGGAAUUCCCGGUGUAGAGGUGAAAUUCGUAGAUAUCGGGAGGAACACCUGUGGCGAAGGCGGCCAUCUGGAAGAUUACUGACGCUGAGACGCGAAAGCGUGGGGAGCAAACAGGAUUAGAUACCCUGGUAGUCCACGCCGUAAACGAUGAGUGCUAGGUGUUGCGGGUAUUGACCCCUGCAGUGCCAAAGCUAACGCGUUAAGCACUCCGCCUGGGGAGUACGGUCGCAAGAUUA